AGGAACCAGGAGCAGAGAUUCCGGGAAUUCUGAUUUAAAACCAAUAGCAAUGGGGAAGAAGCAGGCAGAGAUGCUGCUUCUGACCUGAAAGUACUGCUUGAAGGUGGACAUCUGCUAUGCAGUGCUGAAGAGGAAGGUCCUCAGCGUUCAGGCUGCUCUCCUUCACAUGUCACCUCCUGAUGCUGGGAGAUGUCUCAGGGCUGAAAAGGAAAGUGAAAGCCCUCUGUCAUGCCCGUUUCCCCUUAGCAAUUCUUGUUCACCUGGAGAGCUUGCACAGAGUGAUGGACUGGGAAGGUAACGUCAUCUCCAGGCAGUGCAGGGAUGGGGAUACCCGUCUGUGCCCCCCCCGUGCUGCUGCAUGACCCUCCUGCUCCCCAUGUGUGGGUCUGGCCCCAUCCCAGCUGCUGGAGGUCUCCUGGGGACAUGGGAUUUGCCCACAAGCACGAGAAGACAUUCAUACAGCUACUGGGAGGGGGGUUGUGAAAAGCCAGCACAUUUUUUUUUUCCUCUAACAAAUGACCUUUGUCGUUCCUUUUAUUUUCAUUUUCAGGCUCUGUCCUUCCAGAGGUCAGGCAGUUUAAGAAUCUUGGCAGGAUGAAAAAAGCAGGAUUCAUCCUCCUAAUUGCUUUAUCUCUCUGACCACCACGUCAUCCUGCUUCGGCCAAGUGAUUGGAUCAUCAGCCCUUUGAAAGUAGAGGUGGCACAAGUGCUUUGCUUUCAUCUCUCUCAGUUCCAAUAGGUUUGUGUGAUGAAGACCCAACCAGGGCCCAACGUGACAUUAUUCAAUCCCCUUUCAGCAGCGGCACCUCUAUUUUCUCACUUGGUACUCAAGAUGCCCAACAGUUCCUCCACUGUCACACGCUGUAUCUCAAGGCCUUCUGGGACUCCGUUUUUGAGCCAAGAGGUUUUGACACCACAAGAGGCGUCACCUCCUGCCUGAGGCCAGAUUUUGACCAUAAAAGGGAAGAAUGGAAUGUUGGGCGACAGCCCCGAUUGGCUGAGCACCUUCUCGUGAUGGUUUCGGGGGAAAUAACCAGGUCGGAGUCAUUUUCCUCUCCCCCCGUCCCGAGUCAAGAAUGAAAACAGUGCGACCAAACCGUGUGGUUCACCAUUGAAACCAAGGCAGGACUUUUUGUGUCUGUGCCUCCUACUGUUCUUGGUUCCACCUGCAUGAAACCAAGCCCUCACUUCUGUGUGUGAGCGGCAGCUCUGUUUCCCAUCCAACAUCUCUGUGGCCGCCACUGGUUGAUGCUAUCUUGGAGGUGAAUGGGAGUGAUUUGGUGGCCACGUUGGCCAGGAACCACAACUGCCUUCUGCCAAACUGACAGCCUUCUGCUGGGAGAACCCAAGAACCUCCUUCUUGUGGUUGUGUAUCCUAUAUCCACAAUCAAAACCUGGUAGAACAAAGUGCCUUUGUGCUUGGACAUCCCUCCCACCCAGCUGCGUUGUGGCUGCCCUCAUCAGAUCACUUCUGUGCUAAAAUAGGACUUCACUCUCGUGAGUCAUUUGCCUAAAAUGUGCCACCAGCACUGACUUACAACCUUUAAUAAAAAUGAUAAAGGAGCUGAGAGGGUUUCCUGGAAAUGUUGUCAGCCUUGAGUUGGGAGCAGA